GCCCCGUCCGAGCGGCUGCGAGCGGGUCGGGAAAUGCCGCGGCGUCUGUCAGAAGGUGGCCCGCCCCCAAAAUUCUUGAAAUUAGAAGGCCGGCCCCGCGUGGUCGGUCCCUAGACCUACCUCCGCGCGCGGCGAUCGGCGCGGGUCCCUCGGCGGCGCGCCGCUCGGGCAGGUCUGGCGAAGCUCCCGGCGGCCCCCGCGGUGCCCACCCCCUCCGCCCUCCGGUGGCGGGAGUGCACUGGGUGGGCUGCAGCGUCUGGAAAGCACCGUGCAAAACUUGACCGUGUGAUCCUGACUCACCGGGGGGAGCCGCGCGCGCGGAGCCUGGGAAAGGAUGGAAUGGAGGCUAACGUUAUGUAACUGCAAACACCUUGAGGUGCCCCCGCUCUGGGCCUUUUCUCUUGCCCUUAUAGGUUUUUGUAGUUUCCACCCCGUCAACGAUGACCAUAUGUUACUG
rnacentral:lncRNA from 1 species